rnacentral:rRNA from 1 species
CCUACGGGAGGCAGCAGUAGGGAAUUUUCGUCAAUGGGCGCAAGCCUGAACGUGCAAUGCCGCGUGAACGAGGGAGGUCUUCGGAUCGUAAAGUUCUGUUGAAGGGGAAAAAGAGCGGAGAGAGGAAAUGGUCUCCGAUUGAGAUUACUCUUCGAGGAAGUCACGGCUAACUACGUGCCAGCAGCCGCGGUAAUACGUAGGUGGCGAGCGUUAUCCGGAAUGAUUGGGCGUAAAGGGUGCGUAGGCGGCCUGCUAAGUCUGGAGUGAAAGGUACCGGCUCAACCGGUACAGGCUCUGGAAACUGGCGGGCUAGAGAGCAGGAGAGGGCGGUGGAACUCCAUGUGUAGCGGUAAAAUGCGUAGAUAUAUGGAAGAACACCAGUGGCGAAGGCGGCCGCCUGGCCUGUUGACUGACGCUGAGGCACGAAAGCGUGGGGAGCAAAUAGGAUUAGAUACCCCUGUAGUC